rnacentral:sRNA from 1 species
AGUUGAUUUAGACGCUAGGAAGGUAGACACUGCUACUACUGCUUGGCCUGACUUUCAAGCCAAACCUGUUAAAAUUAUCGUCCAUGGUUUCCUGCAAGCUGUCACACCAGACGACUGGCUAUCAGCCAUAAAAAAUGAACUCUUGAUAGAGGGAGACUACAACGUAAUCAUAGUGGACUGGUCAAAGGGAAAUAAACCUCCUUACACACAGGCAACGGCUAACACAAGAGUUGUCGGAGCACAAAUAGCUUUACUAAUUCAUAAACUUGUGGAGAGUUCUGGAAUUAAAAACUCGGACGUUCAUAUCAUCGGGCACAGUCUUGGAAGUCACAUCGCCGGCUAUGCAGGAGAACGUCUUGAUGAGCU